CCUACGGGUGGCAGCAGUGGGGAAUAUUGCGCAAUGGGCGAAAGCCUGACGCAGCGACGCCGCGUGAGGGAUGAAGGUCUUCGGAACGUAAAACUCUGUCAGCAGGGAAGAACGGUCACUGUGCUAAUCAGCAGUGAAUUGACGGUACCUGCAAAGGAAGCACCGGCUAACUCCUUGCCAGAAGCGGCGGUAAUACGGAGGGUGCGAGCGUUAAUCGGAAUUACUGGGCGUAAAGCGCUCGUAGGCGGUAUGUCAAGUCAAGGGUGAAAUCCCCGCGCUCAACGUGGGAACUGCCUUUGAAACUGGCAAACUGGAGUGUGUGAGAGAAUAGUGGAAUUCCAGGUGUAGGAGUGAAAUCCGUAGAUAUCUGGAGGAACAUCAGUGGCGAAGGCGACUAUCUGGCACAUAACUGACGCUGAGGAGCGAAAGCGUGGGUAGCAAACAGGAUUAGAUACCCGAGUAGUC
rnacentral:rRNA from 1 species